CACGUAGGAGACUAGCGUUAUCCGGAUUGGGGGGGCGUAAAGCGCGUGCAGGCGGUUCAGCAAGUUGGAUGUGAAAGCUCCCGGCUUAACUGGGAGAGGUCGUUCAAUACUACUGGACUAGAGAGUGGUAGAGGGAGGUGGAAUUCCGGGUGUAGUGGUGAAAUGCGUAGAUAUCCGGAGGAACACCAGUGGCGAAAGCGGCCUCCUGGACCAUUUCUGACGCUCAGACGCGAAAGCUAGGGUAG
rnacentral:rRNA from 1 species